AGAGUUUGAUCAUGGCUCAGAGUGAACGCUGGCGGCAUGCCUAACACAUGCAAGUCGAACGGUAACAGGCCCGCAAGGGUGCUGACGAGUGGCGGACGGGUGAGGAAUACAUCGGAAUCUGCCCGGUUGUGGGGGAUAACGUAGGGAAACUUACGCUAAUACCGCAUACGACCGAAAGGUGAAAGCGUGGGAUCCGCAAGGACCUCGCGCAGCCGGAUGAGCCGAUGUCGGAUUAGCUAGUUGGCGGGGUAAAGGCCCACCAAGGCGACGAUCCGUAGCUGGUCUGAGAGGAUGAUCAGCCACACUGGGACUGAGACACGGCCCAGACUCCUACGGGAGGCAGCAGUGGGGAAUAUUGGACAAUGGGGGCAACCCUGAUCCAGCAAUGCCGCGUGUGUGAAGAAGGCCUUCGGGUUGUAAAGCACUUUUAUCCGGAACGAAACGCGCAGGGCGAAUAGUCUUGCGAACUGACGGUACCGGAGGAAUAAGCACCGGCUAACUUCGUGCCAGCAGCCGCGGUAAUACGAAGGGUGCAAGCGUUACUCGGAAUUACUGGGCGUAAAGCGUGCGUAGGUGGUUUGUUAAGUCUGUUGUGAAAGCCCCGGGCUCAACCUGGGAAUGGCAAUGGAUACUGGCAAGCUAGAGUGCGGUAGAGGGUAGUGGAAUUCCCGGUGUAGCGGUGAAAUGCGUAGAGAUCGGGAGGAACACCAGUGGCGAAGGCGGCUACCUGGACCAGCACUGACACUGAGGCACGAAAGCGUGGGGAGCAAACAGGAUUAGAUACCCUUGUAGUCC
rnacentral:rRNA from 1 species